CGUUUAUUCUCUUUCUGACGGGAUAAUUUUCAAAGCAGUGAUUUUUAUAAAAACUCAGGAAGAAAACAAUUUUGUUUCAUUUCCAUAACAGAAUCCAGACCUUGAGCUUCACCCUGCGAUCAGUGAUUACACACACACUGCACCGUUUCGGCUGCAGCGGCUCCUGCUGUCCACCGGCUCCCGUCCUCCCUGCCUGUAACCGUCUGUGGUGAUUCGCGGCACUGCAGGACCAUGAUGGCCCGGAUCUGCUCGGACGCUCCGCCUCAGCUUCUCAUGGCCGCCCUCGCUAUUGCCACCCCUGCCCAGGCUGCAUCAAGGAGGUCAGGGGCCAGGGGAGAACUCUUUUGUUAUUGAGAAGUUUGAUUGCAAGACCUGACCCUUCCUGUGUGGACGGAUGGGCAGAUGCCCAGACUGGAAAGUCCUUGUGAACUUAUGCGCCCAGGCCGCCAGGUCCAUAUCAUCAGUUCGUAGAAGCUGGCACAGACCAGUGAUUCAUAUGCCCAGGCCAGGUCCAUAUCAUCAGCUCACAGAAGCCAGCACAGCCCAGCGAGUAGCCCUACAGACUCCACGUGGCCCAUGAGUAUCACGGUCA
rnacentral:lncRNA from 1 species